GAUGAACGCUAGCGGCAGGCCUAACACAUGCAAGUCGAGGGAGCAGCCCUUUCGGGGGCAGAUACCGGCGCACGGGUGCGUAACUCAUAUGCAACCUACCUUUCACAGUGUGAUAGCCCGAAGAAAUUUGGAUUAAUACCCCAUAAUAUUAUUAGAUGGCAUCAUGUGAUAAUUAAAACUGCGGUGGUGAAAGAUGGGCAUGCGUCCUAUUAGCUAGUUGGAGUGGUAACGGCAACGCAAGGCUACGAUAGGAAGGGGUCCUGGGAGGGAGACCCCCCACACCUGUACCGCGACAGGGACCCGAAUCGUACGGGAGGCAGGAGUGAGUAAUAUUGGUCAAUGGUCGGAAGACUGAAACCGCCAUGCCGCGUGCAGGAAGAAUGCCUUAUGGGUUGUAAACUGCUUUUAUAUGGGAAGAAUAAGGCGUACGUGUACGUUGAUGACGGUACCAUAUGAAUAAGCAUCGGCUAACUCCGUG
rnacentral:rRNA from 1 species